rnacentral:rRNA from 1 species
GUGGGGAAUAUUGCACAAUGGGGGAAACCCUGAUGCAGCGACGCCGCGUGAGUGAAGAAGUAUUUCGGUACGUAAAGCUCUAUCAGCAAGGAAGAAAAUGACGGUACUUGACUAAGAAGCCCCGGCUAACUACGUGCCAGCAGCCGCGGUAAUACGUAGGGGGCAAGCGUUAUCCGGAUUUACUGGGUGUAAAGGGAGCGUAGACGGGAUGGUAAGUCAGAUGUGAAAGCCCGGGGCUCAACCCCGGGACUGCAUUUGAAACUAUCAGACUAGAGUGCAGGAGAGGUAAGUGGAAUUCCUAGUGUAGCGGUGAAAUGCGUAGAUAUUAGGAGGAACACCAGUGGCGAAGGCGGCUUACUGGACUGUAACUGACGUUGAGGCUCGAAAGCGUGGGGAGCAAACAGGAUUAGAUACCCCUGUAGUCC